GACGAACCGUGCGAACGUUGUUCGGAAUCACUGGGCUUAAAGGGCGCGUAGGCGGGCGGCCAAGUCCGACGUGAAAUCCCCAGGCUUAACCUGGGAACUGCGUCGGAUACUGGAUGGCUUGAAUCCGGGAGAGGGAUGCGGAAUUCCAGGUGUAGCGGUGAAAUGCGUAGAUAUCUGGAGGAACACCAGCGGCGAAGGCGGCAUCCUGGACUGGUUCUGACGCUCAUGAGCGAAAGCGUGGGGAGCGAGUCCGG
rnacentral:rRNA from 1 species